UAGGGAAUCUUCCACAAUGGACGAAAGUCUGAUGGAGCAACGCCGCGUGAGUGAAGAAGGGUUUCGGCUCGUAGAACUCUGUUGUUAAAGAAGAACAUAUCUGAGAGUAACUGUUCAGGUAUUGACGGUAUUUAACCAGAAAGCCACGGCUAACUACGUGCCAC
rnacentral:rRNA from 1 species